rnacentral:rRNA from 1 species
UACAGAGGUCCCAAGCGUUGUUCGGAUUCACUGGGCGUAAAGGGUGCGUAGGCGGUCGGGUAAGUCUGAUGUGAAAUCUCACAGCUUAACUGUGAAACUGCAUUGGAUACUAUCCGGCUCGAGGAAUGGAGGGGAGACUGGAAUACUUGGUGUAGCAGUGAAAUGCGUAGAUAUCAAGUGGAACACCAGUGGCGAAGGCGGAGUCUCGUGACAUUUCCUGACGCUGAGGCACGAAAGCCAGGGGAGCAAACGGG